rnacentral:rRNA from 1 species
GACGAACGCUGGCGGCGUGCUUAACACAUGCAAGUCGAACGGAAAGGCCCUGCUUGCAGGGUACUCGAGUGGCGAACGGGUGAGUAACACGUGGGUGAUCUGCCCUUCACUUCGGGAUAAGCCUGGGAAACUGGGUCUAAUACCGGAUAGGAGCCAUUUUGAGUGUGAUGGUUGGAAAGAUUUUUCGGUGUCGGAUGAGCUCGCGGCCUAUCAGCUUGUUGGUGGGGUAAUGGCCUACCAAGGCGGCGACGGGUAGCCGGCCUGAGAGGGUGGACGGCCACAUUGGGACUGAGAGACGGCCCAGACUCCUACGGGUGGCAGCAGUGGGGAAGCUUGCACAAUGGGCGCCAGCCUGAUGCAGCGACGCCGCGUGGGGGAUGACGGCCUUCGGGUUGUAAACUCCUUUCGCUAGGGACGAAGCUUUUUGUGACGGUACCUAGAGAAGAAGCACCGGCUAACUACGUG